rnacentral:rRNA from 1 species
CGCAAGUAAGUAAGAUCCCUCAAAGAUGAUGAGGUGGAUAGGUCUGGGGUGUAAGUACGGCGACGUAUGUAGCUGACAGAUACUAAUCGAUCGAGGACUUAACCUAUUU